rnacentral:rRNA from 1 species
GUACACUCCUGCGGGAGGCAGCAGUGAGGAAUAUUGGACAAUGGGUGGAAGCCUGAUCCAGCCAUCCCGCGUGCAGGAAGACGGCCCUAUGGGUUGUAAACUGCUUUUAUCUGGGGAUAAACCUACUUACGUGUAAGUAGCUGAAGGUACCAGAAGAAUAAGCACCGGCUAACUCCGUGCCAGCAGCCGCGGUAAUACGGAGGGUGCAAGCGUUAUCCGGAUUUAUUGGGUUUAAAGGGUCCGUAGGCGGACUGAUAAGUCAGUGGUGAAAUCCGACAGCUUAACUGUCGAACUGCCAUUGAUACUGUUAGUCUUGAGUAAGGUUGAAGUGGCUGGAAUAAGUAGUGUAGCGGUGAAAUGCAUAGAUAUUACUUAGAACACCAAUUGCGAAGGCAGGUCACUAAGUCUUAACUGACGCUGAUGGACGAAAGCGUGGGGAGCGAACAGGAUUAGAAACCCUAGUAGUCCCAUGAU